ensembl:snRNA U2 U2 spliceosomal RNA
AUCACUUCUUGGCCUUUUGGCUAAGAUCCAGUGUAUUAUCUUUCCAUCAGUCUCUAUAAGAUUUUCAUAUUUUAUCUAAUUCUAAUACCCAAUAAAUAAGGUAGAUAAUAUUCACUCCAUUUUCUGUCUGAGGAAAUGAAGAAUCAGAA